CUCAAGCCAGAAAUAAAUGAGGAAAAACCCCCACCCUACCGCCUUCGAGGGAGAAUAAUCCCCAGCCUGCAGGGGAGGGGGUAGCACGAACCGAUGCUAAAUCACAGCGGGUGAGAAAGCACUGUAUACGCACUGAUUUAUUGGAAUGGCAAGACACAAAUUAGCUGCAGUUUUCAGCCACGCCACCGACAGCCGUACUGUCCACCGGCGCGUUGUCACCACCGACCCCACGCAGGGAGCCCACGGGCACGGAGCGGCUCUCCGCAGUCAUCCUCCUCCUAAAGUAACCUGUAAACAAUUUGACAUUACACUUAUGUACAAGUGAACCACGUUGGAAAGUAGAGAGGUAAUUCAGUGGGUGCCACUUAAUCUACAUCAAUGUGCA